AGGAGUAUUCCUACAUCUAACGAUCUGCAUCACCUCGCGGUGUAUCUGUUUCAACAAUAACAAUAUUAAGUAACUUACUCACUAUAUUAUUCUAAUAUUAAUUAAUUACUCUUAACCUUUGAAAUUUAAUACUUCUACUUCAAUCUAACUUAAUCCCUUAAUUUACAUAAUUUUUUCAAAAUUUACAAAUCCAGCUAACUCAUCUUAAUUACCAAAUAAAUCUAACACUUCCAAAUCCUCCUUCCUUCACUUGCUUUAGUGUUUUAUAGGUUGAACUUGCAAGCUUAUAAAGAUAUUUUCUCAAUUUCCUUAUUGUUUUUCCUUACUUUUCUCUCUUUCUCUCACGUUAUGCUCUGUUUUUCUUUUCACCUUUUUGUUUCUGCCCAUUCGGCAGUUAAUAGAAGAGAAGGAGAGCUUAUAUGUUUUGUUUUCAAUGGAAAAUUACUAUUAUACCCUUAAUGAAUAUUUUUUCCUCUUUGACGGUCUUUAUUUUUUUUGCUAGCACUACCGAGCUCCAUUCAUCUUAAAAUUUUAACCAAAUUUUAUUCAAUAUAUUUUAAGAUUCCUCAUAAAAUUUCAGCUCAAUCCGAUGAUCGGAUUGAAAAUUACAUCCAAUAACGUAAAACUAGUCGAAUUGUGAUUUUUCGUUAAAUUUUUGAAUUUCUCUAAAAAUUCUGAAAUUUUAACCCAAGUUAAGGUAUCAUAUUAGAAGGCUCCACGCAAAAUUUCAGAAUUUUUAGAUAACCCAAUCAAGAGUUACGAAUUUUUUUAUUUUACAUAAAACUAGUCAAUUUAUGAUUUUUCGCCCGGAGGUUUUACAAAACUACACAUGUUAUUUUAAAUGUAUAUUAAGAAAAUAAUAAAAAAAAUGUUAAUAUUAAAUUAUAAUUGUUUAGUUCAAUUUAGUGUGUGUUACAUGCAAGUUUAGUUCAAUUUAAAGUAUUUGAAUUAUAUAUCAUGCAAAUUAACAACCUACCAACAAUUUUAAGACUAAAAAUUACCUUGUAUCUUAUUUAUUAAUUGCUUAGUUUAAUUUUUGCAAUUCCAUAUUUUAUAAUUUUUAUAUAAUAAAUUUGUUUUUUGUUAUUUUAUUUGAAUGUUGUAAGUCAUAUUUAUAUAUAGAUUAUAUUAUUAUGUCUUCUACUUAGGAGAUGGUUAAUACAACUAAUAUUUCAGCAAUGAUUCCACCAUCACUUUUUGUGGUACAUGGUGAGAAACCUAAAAAUUCUAAUGGUUUGAACUUUGAGAGGUGGCAAUAAAAGGUAUUUUAUCUAACCACCUUGAACUUGGUAAAAUUCUUGUCUAAUAUUAUUGUUGUGGUAGUUACGAAUGCAUGGAUGCACAAAUAUUUCAUGUGCAAUAACUACAUCUUAAAUGGUUUGGACAACAUGCCAUAUGAUUUGUAUAGUUCAAUUAAAAGUGCAAAGACACUAUAGGAAGCCAUCAUGUAUUGAAAGUAUAAGGUUAAAGAUGUUGACAUGAAAAAGUUCAUAGUCAUCAAACUUCUUGACUUCAAGAUGAUUGAUUCAAGGACUAUGAUAAGCAAAUUUCAAGAGUUUUAACUCAUCUUACACAACAUUCAUGUUGAAGGGAUGAUUUUAAGUGAAUCUUUUCAAAUGAUUGCUAUUAUUGAGAAAUUAUCAUCAUCUUUGAAAGAUUUCAAGAAAUACCUUAAAGGCAUAAGUGAAAGGAGAUUAGAGUUGAAAACAUCAUUCUAAGAUUGAUAAUAAUAAUAAUAAUAAUAAAUAAUAAGUUGUUUGAAAGGAGAGCUAACUCUUUCAUAAUAGCUUCUAAAACAAACAUUAUUGAACAAGUAAAGAAGACCAAUAAUAAAAACCAAAAUAAAAAGCUUAAUGUGAAGGGAAAAGAUAUUGUCAUGAAAUUCAAUAGCAAGUGGUUUAUUUAUAAUAAGACUGGAUAUCAAGUCAAUAAUUACAAAAAUAAAGCUCAAGAAAGGAACUUUAAGAAAAAAAAAAAAGAUUGCUUAAGACAAUGUCACCAGGAUUAAUAACCUAGUAAAUAAAGUAUUGAGUAUGAAACUAUAUUUCAUUAAACCUAUAAAUCUUGUGAACAAUAUUGAAUAUUGGAGGAUUAACACUAGUUCUAUAAGACAUAAUUGUGCUAAAAGAAUGAUGUUCUCUACUUACUAAGAAGUAGGUGUUAAACAACUUGUCAUAAUCCAAUUUUGAAUCCCCCAAAACUUUUUCAUAUUUUGCUUAAAAAUAAAAAAAAUCAUAAAUUCAAAAUUUAAAAAUAUUUUUGGGACAUAAAUAGAGGAGCUUUUGAGUUGCAACAAGUCAAAUUCCAGGAGUAUAGUCAGAUUUUAAUAUUGUUGCCAAGAUAGGUUGAAGAACAAUUUAAUUUAAGCACAAUUUGAAAGUUAAUUUAAUUGAAAUUGAAAGAAUUAAUUAAGUUCAAGAACUUAAUUAAACUUCUAAUGAGUUUAUCUAACUUAUUUAAGGAUUUAAUUGAAAGAAAAUUAUGUUUGAAAAAUAAUUUGAUCAAAAUUAGAAGAAUUUAUUAAACUUAAGUGCUUAAUUAAACUUCUAAUGAGUUUAAUUGAUUUAAUUAAAGUAAAAUUAAGUUUAAAAGUUAAUUUUUGUAAGCAAGAAGUAUUUGUGUGAUGUUUUUUUUAAGAUAAUCGCCUGAUAUUCAUAGUCAAUUUGAUUAUUGUAAUAAGGGAUGUAAAUUAUAAUAUAAUUCUCUCUUCUUUUAUUUACUUUACUUUAUCGCAUGUUAAUUAUAAUUUUAUAAAAAAAUUUAAAUUUUAACCAACCUCUUUUUUGGGCACAAUCCCAAACAGGGGCUUAAAUGUCCGAAACACCAGCUAGCUCAUUGUGACACUCUAAUGCACUUCCACAUCAUUCGUGGAUUGACAAAUGUAAGGGUAAUCAGUUUUCGGAAGUUGCUUUUGAGUUCUAACAUUCACAACCACCAGUCUCAUGGCAACGCCAUUCAAGAUCCCUUUCUCUGUUCAUACGUUUCAGCCUGAGGAAAGCACAGGCAAGUACCACAAGAAAUUAAUAAUAAAAAUAAAAAUAAAAAAUGAUCAAACAAGACAGGUGCUUCAAAAUAAACAUUCCCACGUAACAUUUCUAUCUCUAUUCCCUACGCGUGGGAAAACCCAUCUCUCUUUUAAUUUCACUUUAAAGGAAUAAGAAUCGAAUUCCAGAUACAGAUCCAGAACGGCAAAGCCCACCUCUUCCUCUCCCUGUGGAUUUUCGAGAUCUUUGGUGAUAAUGGGUUUGAGGAUUGUGUACGGGGUGGUGUUCCUUUCUUUCUCAUGUGCCUGCUUCAUGCUUCUCCAUCUCUUUCUACACCCUGUAUUCUACUUCACUACCUGAUGGGUUCUUGGGAUUUUUGAGAAAGAAGCUCAAAUGGGUUAGCCAGAUUUUACACUUUUUCUUCUUUUCGUUUGCUUAAUUUGUAUACUUUUCUUCAUAUAAUGACAUAAGGGGUUGAAUUUCUCAAGUACUACUGUGUACUUCUAUUACUACUGUGAUGCAAGUUGAACUAGCUAUAGGUCUGGUAGUCUUCCUAGUCCUUUCGCAUCUCAGAGUUUGAGUGCUUGCGUCUUGUGUUACUUGUCAUGACAUUUCAAGCACAUCUACAUGUCUUUUGUUUGUUUGGUUUUGCUAUGAUGUUGUUGAUAUAAUACCAGUUUAAUGAGAAUUUGCUGAUAUGUUUAUUUAUUCAGUUUAUUUUUAUUUUUUUGAUAAUAAGUACUACUUAUGAUCUUAUGCUCAGUGUUCUGUUGCUAAGUGCAUCUGAAACUUUCAAUUUCAGUCCAGUAAAGGAUGUUUCUGCAAAAUUAGCGUUCUGGAUUAAUUAUAUUGCAAUUGUCAGUAGCAGUUUUGCAUUCUAAACCC
rnacentral:lncRNA from 1 species